UCGAGCAGGGUGCCUGAGUAAGAGAGUGGAGGUCUGGAACAGGCGCAGCGUCACAACAUGGGAGCGACACAGUGUCACAGCUCAAGAUGGGGUUCAUAUCAUUUGAGGAUGUUACUAUGGACUUUACCUAGGAGUAGUGGCAGGACCUGGAAGAUGCUCAGAAGAUUCUACACAAGGAUGUGAUGCUGGAGACCUACUGCAACCUGGUGUUUUUGGGACAAAGCAUUGCCAAACCUGGAGUGUCUUCAAGUUGGAGCAAGGAGGAGAUCCAAGGAUAUUCGAAGAACUUCCCAACUUGAGCCUCCCAGGUUAGUCAGUGCAUACUUU